rnacentral:rRNA from 1 species
UACGAAGGGAGCUAGCGUUGUUCGGAAUCACUGGGCGUAAAGCGCACGUAGGCGGACGUGUCAGUCAGGGGUGAAAUCCCGGAGCUCAACUUCGGAACUGCCUUUGAUACAGCACGUCUUGAGUCCGGAAGAGGUGGGUGGAAUUCCUAGUGUAGAGGUGAAAUUCGUAGAUAUUAGGAAGAACACCGGUGGCGAAGGCGGCCCACUGG